CCUUUUAAAAACCUUGAAGGAAACUCCAAAGAGAACAAUAUCUGCUAGCGGUGUGCUUAGACUUUACACGUAGAACGGGAGGAUUCAUGGUCUUGGAGAGGCAGUGGUGAAGGCAGCCAUUGUUAAGUGCAGAACCAGAAACAUUCAGCGUAUGGGUCUUCAUGUUAAUCCUCUGAGGACUGCGGCUACAAGAAGUUUGGGUUCCACUACUCUGCGGAUCGAGAUGGCUAUAGAAGGCAGAACAUUUGAUUACAUCAAGAAAAAAAGGAACCAAAUGAAGACAACUAAAAGCGAUUGUCUCAGGUAACCCUGCAACAGAAGCAGCAUAUUAACUUGUAUUGAAUCCUCCCACUGCAGUUUAGGAAAGAAACUAAACCCGAAAACUCGAACCGGUCAUGGAGUUCUUGGUAGCAACAUAAUGUAAAUCAACCCUCUCGUGGAUCAUAAUACGAUUCGUUAGCCACAUGUGUUUUCAUCAUGCCUUGAUUUUGCUGCAUCUUUGUUUGCAUGUAUUAUGGCAUCAGGUAUUAAAC